ACAUGUUCAAGUGAAAUUGUGUUGCCAAGUGAUAGUCAAUAAAAAACCUUCGUUUUUACCAGUUACUCUAGUGACUAAUCUCCAAAAAAUUAGGUUUACUCUGGCAAAGAAGCAGGAGCAUAUUAGGUAAUUAAAAAUCUAUUGUACCUUUUACCUUUUACAUUGGUUUGGUCAUAUCAUGUAUUUAGUUCUCAAUCUCAUCAAGCAAUUAAAAUUUGAACUCUGGUAUAUGGAUUUAUCGGAUCCAUUCUGUUUUUGAUGAUCUUGGGUCCAGAGCUCUUCCAACUUUCCUCAAUUCCACCAUGAAUGCUAUUGAGGGAAUCAUUGGAAUGGUUGGGCUUUCUUGAUCUAAGAAAAGGGUUAUCAAGAUACUUCACGAUGUCAAUGGAAUCAUAAAACCAUCCAGAUGGGUAGCUGUAUGUGCAGCUGUUGCUAUGGGUGAGGAAGGCGAUAUGGUUCUUUUGGUGACUGUUAAAGAGUUUGGGAUGUACGGGAAAUGGGAAAUGGGAGAUGAGAUAAAUUCUAGAGGUUCUGAUAUUGAAAUUUUGAUAUUGAGAUUCUGAUAUUGAAAUUUUGUUCCAGAGGUUUUGAAGCUUUGGA